rnacentral:rRNA from 1 species
UCUAAUGAGACUGCCGGUGACAAACCGGAGGAAGGUGGGGAUGACGUCAAGUCCUCAUGGCCCUUAUGGGUAGGGCUUCACACGUCAUACAAUGGUGCAUACAGAGGGUUGCCAACCCGCGAGGGGGAGCUAAUCUCAGAAAAUGCAUCGUAGUCCGGAUCGUAGUCUGCAACUCGACUACGUGAAGCUGGAAUCGCUAGUAAUCGCGGAUCAGAAUGUCGCGGUGAAUACGUUCCCGGGUCUUGUACACACCGCCCGUCAUACCAUGGGAGUGGGUUUUGCCAGAA